ensembl:ncRNA F56C3.11 ncRNA
UUGCCGAAUUGCCGGAACAUUUUUAAUUCCGGCAAUUUGCCGAUUUGCCGAAUUGCCGGAAAAA